UAGUCCUACGGGGGGCAGCAGUGAGGAAGAUUGGUCAAUGGGCGGGAGCCUGAACCAGCCAUGCCGCGUGAAGGCGAGUGCCCUACGGGCGGUAAACUUCUUUUGUGCGGGAGCAAUAAGGGCCACGUGUGGCCCGAUGAGAGUACCGCACGAAUAAGCAUCGGCUAACUCCGUGCCAGCAGCCGCGGUAAUACGGGGGAGGGAGCGGUAUCCGGAUUUUUUGGGGUUAAAAGGUG
rnacentral:rRNA from 1 species